rnacentral:rRNA from 1 species
GAGACCCACAUGCUUAGUUGCCAUCAAGAGCCUACGGGUUUGUUGGGAACGCUAAGCAGACCGCCAUCGUACAGAUGGAGGAAGGAGUGGGCCACGGCAGGUCAGUAUGCCCCAGAUCCCCCGGGCCACACGCGAGCUGCAAUGGUAUGGACAAUGGGUAUCGACACCGAAAGGUGAAGGCAAUCUCCUAAACCCAUCCUUAGUUCGGAUUGUGGGCUGCAACUCGCCCACAUGAAGCUGGAAUCUGUAGUAAUCGUGUCUCAACAUGGCACGGUGAAUAU